rnacentral:rRNA from 1 species
CUCUUCUUGUUUGGUUAAUUUGAGGUAGGGCCUGCCCACUGAUUUAUUGAAGGGCCGCGGUAUCUUGACCGUGCAAAGGUAGCAUAAUCAUUAGUUUUUUAAUUGUGAACUAGUAUGAAUGGUUUGACGAGGUGCCAACUGUCUUUAUUGGAAGAUAUUGAAUUUGGGAUUUGGGUAAAAAUACCUAAAUUUUUUUAUGGGACGAGAAGACCCUAUAGAGUUUUAUAAAAUUGUGCUGAUUGUUGGUUUGUUUUGGUUUUGUUAGUGAAUUUUAUUUUGUUGGGGUGAUGGGAAGAUAACAUUAACUCUUCUUGAUUUUUUUAUACUAAUUUGUAAAUUGUUGAUCCUUUAUUGUGGAUUAUAAGAUUAAAUUACC